UCCUCAGCUCAACUUCUCAAAAUGAGGUUCCCUGCUCAGCUGCUUGGACUGCUGAUGCUUUGGUUCCCUGGAUCCAGUGGGGAUAUCGUCAUGACGCAGACCCCACUGUCCCUGUCUGUCAGCCCUGGAGAGCCGGCCUCCAUCUCUUGCAGGGCCAGUCAGAGCCUCCUGCACAGUGAUGGAAACACCUAUUUGAAUUGGUUCCGACAGAAGCCAGGCCAGUCUCCACAGGGCCUGAUCUACUUGGUUUCCAAACGUUUCUCUUGGGUCCCAGACAGGUUCAGUGGCAGCGGGUCAGGGACAGAUUUCACCCUGAGAAUCAGCAGAGUGGAGGCUGACGAUGUUGGAGUUUAUUACUGCGGGCAAAGUAUACAAGCUCCUCCCACAGUGGUUCAGCUCUGA